ensembl:lncRNA
CCUCUUCAUUGGUGUGCACUUGCUGAUGUGUUCUCUUAACCUGCCACAGGCUUCCCCAAAGCUAGUAUCUGAGAAGCAUUCGCAGCUAAUAAUUAGCAGUAUUCAUCCUCUCCAUUAUCCAUUCCCCAACAAAGACUUGAAAAAUGCAACCUGGUUAUUCUUCUUUUCUCUCUCUUUUCUCCCUUGUUCAGGUGCUGGUUGCAUGGAAGGCAGGUGCCUUUUAUCCAAAGACAAGGAGUGUUCUCCAUAGGAAGUGUUUAUGUUCAUACUGCAACGCCAAAUUCAGAAAAUAGAUUACCUCUCAGGAAACCAUCUGUUCCAGCAUCCCGUGAACUUUCAGGCUGAGAAGUAAGUGAGGUUGGAAGAACUCUCCUGGAGCUCCUGUUAGCAGAAUGGAACUGGUAGAACAGGACACCAGUUCAAAAAGUCACCGCUUUGAGUGAUGGCGGCUGAGAAUGUCUAUUACUGUGACAUAAAGGGGACUCUGUGCAGCCGAGCUCCAGCUGAUUGCGCGCAAGAGUUCAAGGCAGCGUGAUUGACUGCGCCUGCCCCCCGCCAUCUCUGUGAUCAAAUCACAUUUGCCUAGUUUAUGUUUCUCCCCUUUCUCUGCGUGAAAGUGUCAAGCAAACAAAGGAGAGACAAGUAAUGGAAGGGGGGGAAAAAAAAUAAAAAGCAAAGCCACGUGAGUACAAAGUGCUUCCAGAGACAUAAAAUAAGCAGUUGGAAAAAAUGGGGAACAAUAUUGCCUUUAAUCUCCAAGAUAACCAGGUGCAGUCAUCCUGGAUGUUACUACUAACAUCUGUGGCUUAAAAAAAAAAUAGAAAGUCAACCUGUAGCUGAGUCAUUAAGUUCAGAGUGUCACUGCAAGGAUGGCUUUAAAAACAAAC